UACGUAGGAGGCAAGCGUUGUCCGGAGUUACUGGGCGUAAAGCGCACGCAGGCGGUCCCAUUAGUCUGUAGGGACAGGGCACGGCUCAACCGUGUCAGGCUUACGGAAACUGUGGGACUUGAGGGCUUCAGAGGGAUGGGGAAUUCCGGGUGGAGUGGUGAAAUGCGUAGAGAUCCGGAGGAACACCAAAGGCGAAGGCAGUGUCCUGGGGAGUACCUGACGCUCAGGUGCGAAAGCCAGGGGAGCGAACGGG
rnacentral:rRNA from 1 species